ACCUUGUUGACGUACAGAUGUCCGUGAAUCCUGCAGGCGGUCAAAGAUAUGCUGCUGUCCAUGCUGAAAAAAAACGCAUUAGUUCAAAAGAUGUCAUCCGUGUUUGAACCUGACACUAACAACCGUAGUUAUUGAGAUAAAAAAAGACGGAUUUUCGACCACACGCCUGCAUUAUAAAAUACAAGAAGAUUAGCACCUGCCAGACUGAGCAGCUGGAGCUCCUUUUACCG